rnacentral:rRNA from 1 species
UACGUAGGCAGCAAGCGUUGUUCGGAGUUACUGGGCGUAAAGAGUGCGUAGGCGGUGCUCUAAGUUUGGUGUGAAAUCUCCCGCUUAACUGGGAGGGUGCGCCGAAAACUGCGAUGCUGGAGUGUGGGAAAGGCAAGCGGAAUUCCUGGUGUAGCGGUGAAAUGCGUAGAUAUCAGGAGGAACACCGGCGGUGUAGACGGCUUGCUAGACCAUAACUGACGCUGAGGCACGAAAGCGUGGGUAGCAA